rnacentral:rRNA from 1 species
UACUCGAGUGGCGAACGGGUGAGUAACACGUGGGUGAUCUGCCCUGCACUUCGGGAUAAGCCUGGGAAACUGGGUCUAAUACCGGAUAGGACGAUGGUUUGGAUGCCAUUGUGGAAAGUUUUUCGGUGUGGGAUGAGCUCGCGGCCUACCAGCUUGUUGGUGGGGUAAUGGCCUACCAAGGCGUCGACGGGUAGCCGGCCUGAGAGGGUGUACGGCCACAUUGGGACUGAGAUACGGCCCAG